CUGGUCUCAAUUUCCUUUUCUGUAUAAUGGGGAAAAUAUCAGCUACUUCACAGUUUGUUAUGGGGAUUACUUUGGUUAAUACAAGGCAAGUGCUUAAAACAGUGCCUAGAACACAGCUGAGUGUUAUCUCUAUGUUUGCUGUUAUUAGCUAAUAAGAAUUAAUUUCAAGAUUUUUGCUAGAAUCACAAGUAAUAACGAUAAUAAAAACAAUAAUAGAUAUUAAUUAUUAAGUACUUGCGAGAUGCUACCAAUUUUUACAUGAUGUUUCCCAAUUCCUGCCAGUGAUGUUUUUCAUUUUGCAGAUAAUAAAACUGAUACAGAAACUGUCUCAGUACCUUGCUCAAAAAGAGAAUAUGUUUUUGAAGCCAAGACUGAGAUCCAGGUCACUCUCGACUCCAAAACUCAUAUUGUUUCUGUUGUAUCUGCUGUGCCACGACUACUCCUCCUCUAACUGCUUUCAGUUCUAUUUUUCUGCUGAGCCUCAGGAGCUAAAGCUCCCAGUCCGGCACUCUCCCCUGUGCUGAGCAACCACACAGAUACUGCUGUUUAUGGGUUAUACCCCAUAGGCCACUUCCACCUCACAUUCCAGAGUUCUGAUGGCCUCUCGUAUUUCUCCAUCAAGGAAGCCUUCUGUAAGGCACACCCAUUCCAUGAAGCUGUUGGUUUUGAGAAACCAAUACACACGUCUCUCACCAGUAAAACCUGACAAGGAGAGUGAAGGUCAAGCACUUCAAGGCAAUUGGCAUGUCACUGACGUCAGUAAAGAAAGGCUAAUUGCUGAGAAGAUGAUUCAUGUUGUUUUGAAUGAAAAGGAAAUGGAUUUCUCUGUACCUUUCCCAUCUCUCUAUGUCCCAAUCCUGUGCCCAUGAGAUAUUUUUCCAGAAGAUCCUCUGAGAUCUAUAGACAUUCUGAUUGCAUUUACUUAUUAAACUGGAAGAAGCUUUAGAAAUCAUCCAGACUGAUUCCCUCACUAAAUGGAAGAAGACACAGACACAGAUAGGGCACUCAGUUACCUAAUGUCACACAGUGACUUACCAAUCAGUAAGGCUCUAGUCUUCUGAUUUCCAGACUUGAAUUCUUUGUCACUCAGUACUAUUCCCUCAACCAAUGAUUUGACCGAUAAGACUAUCUAGAUGCAGGAUAGGUGAGAAAGAUCACUUACUGAUCACCUACCAUAUGAUAGUCAUUGUGCAUUUAAUCUUCAUUGAGCAUUAUAACUACAUUAAAAGCUGAAAUUAUCUUCAUUUUAUAAAUAAGGGACUUAGGGCCAGAAAUUUUAAGUGAUUUGUCUAUAUGCACUGAGCAGGAAAGUGGCAGAACCUAGUUUUAAAACUGAAUCACCCCAAUUCCAGAGCUCAUGUCUAUUCCAGUAAUGACAUAUCCAUAGCUGAACCUUGGUCUUUCUUCUCUCCUCUUCCAUCCCUCCUCUCUUCUUCAGUCUCUGUCUCAGUGUGUCUUCCCCUUUCUCCCUGCCCUCCUUUCUCUCUCCCAGUAAAUGGAACCACCAUCUACACAGUGGCUCAAACCAGAAGCUCCCUCUUUCAAAUCCCACCUAUUCAAGCUUCAAGUUCUGUACAUGUUACCUCCUAAAAAUCCAACUACUCCCUCCCCAUUAUCAUGACCCUUAAUCAUGGCAUCUCCAGAUGCCACCUGGACCACUGUAGAAGACUUCUAAUUCACCUCCCAUCUCUACUCUCCACACUGGAGCUCAGGGACCUUUUUAUUUGACCAUAUCACUUCUCUACCUAAAACUCAGUGAUGGCUUCCCAUUGACAUGGGGACAAACCACAAAUCCCUUGUAGUGUUCAUGAGCCCUUCUCAAGCUGGUGUCUCUGUUCCCCUGUUAGGACCCCUCUCUCUCCCUGGCUC
rnacentral:lncRNA from 12 species